rnacentral:rRNA from 1 species
UUACUCCUACGGGAGGCAGCAGGCGGAAUUUUAGAUAAUGGAGGCAACUCUGAUCUAGCGACGCCGCGUGCAGGAAGAAGGUCUUCGGAUUGUAAACUGCUGUGGUAAGGGAAAAAUGUCAUGUAGAGUGGAAAGCUACAUGGAGGGAUGGUACCUUACUAGAAAGCCCCGGCUAACUACGUGCCAGCAGCCGCGGUAAUAA